AUACGUAGGGGGCAAGCGUUGUCCGGAAUGAUUGGGCGUAAAGGGCGCGUAGGCGGCUUUAUAAGUCUGGAGUGAAAGUCCUCUUUUCAAGGGAGGAAUUGCUUUGGAAACUAUAGAGCUUGAGUGCAGGAGAGGUUAUCGGAAUUCCCGGUGUAGCGGUGAAAUGCGUAGAUAUCGGGAGGAACAUCGGUGGCGAAGGCGGGUAACUGGACUGCAACUGACGCUGAGGCGCGAAAGUGUGGGGAGCAAACAGGAUUAGAUACCCUGGUAGUCCACACGGUAAACGAUGAAUGCUAGGUGUAGGAGGUAUCGACCCCUUCUGUGCCGCAGUUAACACAAUAAGCAUUCCGCCUGGGGAGUACGGUCGCAAGAUUAAAACUCAAAUGAAUUGACGGGG
rnacentral:rRNA from 1 species